UAAAUAAAAGACAGAAAAUUGUUGAGUAUACUUUCCUGUAAUUGAUAAGAGUGAUUGAGCUGUAAUCACUUUGUCUUCAUCCAACAUCUGAACAUACACGAACAUAGAAUAUGUAUGAAUGUUCUCACAGUUGGAUCCAUCACUAUUCUAAAUAAUGGAGGCAGUUAUUGAUUCAAUUUUUUUUUUCCUAAGAAAAAGGAGAAAUAACGGGCAUUAGUGUGAUUAUAUCUCUUUGUGAGAUAUUCUAUUUCAGUAAUAAUCAUUGCUUGGAGAGGAAGCUCUAAGAGAUUCAAGAAUUCUU
rnacentral:lncRNA from 1 species